rnacentral:rRNA from 1 species
UUUGAGAGUUUGAUCCUGGCUCAGGAUGAACGCUGGCGGUGUGGAUAAGGCAUGCAAGUCAAGGGAACGGUGCUCCGCACCGUAGUAAUGAGUAGAUGAGUAGAUGAGUAGAUGAGAGAAAAAUUUCUCAUUACUCAUCUACUCAAGGCGCGUUAGCGCCGUACUCAUUACUAACGAUGCGGAGCAUCGUUAACCGGCGAACGGGUUAGUAACACGUGGGUAACGAACCCCAGAGACGGGCAUAACCUCGCGAAAGCGGGGCUAAUUCCCGAUAGUAUCCUCUCCAGCUUUUUAGCAAAGGAGGAUUAAAGGUUUCCCUUUUGGGAUUCUGCUCUGGGAUCGGCCCGCGGCCUAUCAGCUAGUUGGUGAGGUAAUGGCUCACCAAGGCUAUGACGGGUAGGGGGCGUGAGAGCGCGACCCCCAACAAGGGCACUGAGACACGGGCCCUACUCCUACGGGAGGCAGCAGUCGAGAAUCUUCGGCAAUGGGCGAAAGCCUGACCGAGCGACACCGCGUGCGGGAAGAAGGCCUUCGGGUUGUAAACCGCUUUUCUCCCUGAUGAAUCCCGCUUUAGCGGGAUGACAGUAAGGGAGGAAUAAGGGGGGGGCUAAUCACGUGCCAGCAGCAGCGGUAAUACGUGACCCCCGAGCGUUAUCCGGAUUUACUGGGCGUAAAGAGCCUUAAGGCGGUCGGGAAAGUCUCCCGUUAAAUCCUUGGAGCUCAACUUCAAGGUUGCGGGAGAAACUUCUCGACUUGAGGGCGUCAGAGGCCAGCGGAACGGCCGGUGUAGGGGUGAAAUCCGUUGAUAUCGGCCGGAACACCAAAAGCGAAGGCAGCUGGCUGGGGCGACCCUGACGCUGAUUGGCGAAAGCGUGGGGAGCGAAGAGGAUUAGAUACCCUCGUAGUCCACGCUGUAAACGAUGGGCGCUAGCUGGUGGAAGUGUCGACCCUUUCACUGGCGAAGCUAACGCGUUAAGCGCCCCGCCUGGGAAGUACGGCGGCAACGCUGAAACUCAAAGGAAUAGACGGGGACCCACACAAGCGGUGGACCACGUGGCUUAAUUCGACGAUAAGCGAAGAACCUUACCAGGGCUUGACAUGCCAAGUGAAAUCCUGCCGAAAGGUGGGAAUCCGCAAGGCACUUGGCACAGGUGCUGCAUGGUUGUCGUCAGCAGGUGCCGUGAGGUGCUCCCUUAAAUGGGGGAACCUGCGGAACCCUCGCCCCAUGUUUUACGUGUCAUGGGGGACUGCCGCGGAUAACGCGGAGGAAGGUGAGGACGACGCCAAAUCAGCAUGGCCCUUAAGCCCUGGGCAGCACACGUGGUACAAUGGCCGGGACAGCGGGUUGCGACCCCGUAAGGGUGAGCUAAUCCCUCAAACCCGGUCUCAGUUCGGAUCGAGGUCUGCAACUCGACCUCGUGAAGCCGGAAUCGCUAGUAAUCGCGGAUCAGCUACGCCGCGAUGAAUAUGUCACUGGGUCUUGUACUCACCGCCCGUCACGCCAGGGAAGCCGAGAGUAGCCGAAGUUCCCGCUUUACAGCGGGACCGAAGCUAAGCUCGGUGACCAGGGCGAAGUCGUAACAAGG